GUCUUCGUGGCUCAGUUGGUUAGAGCGUUGGUCUCAUAUGAUGAAUAUGAUUUGGCUGUUCACAGUCAGAGCACGUGAUCCAAAGGUCGAGAGUUCGAGUCUCUCCGAGGACA
rnacentral:tRNA from 1 species